CUUCAUUUCAACGUAUUGUGUUAAAUACACCAAGGCCUUCUUCACUAAGUUCUUUGAAUUUUUCCUUUUGUUAAAGCUUGUAUGUUGAAGCUUUGUGAUUGAUGCAUGUAGGUUGAGGUAGUGCUCCCUUAAUUUCCCGAGUGAAGAAAACUUCUCGUUUGGAGACUUGAAAAAUCCAAGUCACAUAGUGGUCAUGAGACUUCCGAGUAUCAAGGUGCAGUAGCAUAUGGUAGGAGU
rnacentral:lncRNA from 1 species